rnacentral:rRNA from 1 species
CAGUAGCCGCGGUAAUACGGGGGAUGCAAGCGUUAUCCGGAAUUAUUGGGCGUAAAGUGUCCUGAGGUGGCUGGUCCAGUCUGCUGUGAAAGUCUGGGGCUUAACCCCAGAAAUGCGGCAGAAACUAGCGAGCUAGAGUACGGUAGGGGCAGGGGGAAUUCCCGGUGUAGCGGUGAAAUGCAUAGAGAUCGGGAAGAACACCGAUGGCGUAAGCACCCUGCUGGGCCGAUACUGACACUGAAAGACGAGAGCUAGGGGAGCAAAUGGGAUUAGAUACCCCGGUAGUCCCUGUCUCUUAUAC